UUCAGAUAACAAAAUCUCUCUCAAGAAGUCCUCUGACCCUAACUCCUCCACUUCCAGAUAAGAGUGGUGGUGAGAAUUAAAUGAGAAAUCCUAUACAAAGUGUCUCGUGUAUGGUGGUUGCUCAUUAAAUGUCAUUCAUUCUGGAGGAAAUCAGUAGCAAUGCCAUAAGGACACUCAACCAACCCUAGAAGUUAUCUACAUGGUGAGGAACUGAGACAUCUUGCAAGUUCCAUGAACCAACCUGGAAGUGGAUCCUUCAACUCCAGUCAAACCUUUGAAUGGCUGCAGUCCUGGCUGACAUCUUAACUGCAACCUCAUGAGAGACCUGGAGCCAACUUAGCUAUUCCCAGAUUCCUGAUCCUCAGAAAUAUGUGAGAUAAUAAAUGUUUGUUGUUUUAAGCUGCUACAUUUGGGGUAAAUAGAUACGCAGCAAUAUAUAAUUAGUAAGGGACUUUUCGAAUAAUUUGCUCCCCUCAAAAGGCAGACUUACACAUGCUACUUGAGCAAUAUAUGAAGUUGCCAUUCUCUGUCCCCUGGUUUUGUUUAACAAUUCUCCCUAUAGGAGAGAAUAUCGCAUAUCUGCUUUCCUUCAUGUAUUACUCAAUCAGCUUUUGUGGAAGCCAUAGCAUUUGUUCAAGGGUAAAACUGAAUGAGCAAAAUGAGGACACCUGAAACUAUAACAGACUAACCAAGGAGGUCUUAAAAUCUGCUGAAAAAGAACGAAGAGACAAGAAAUCAGAGUGGCUGGAGAAGUAAAAAAGUAAUUUCAAACAGGAGGUAAAACAUUUUCAGUAUAUUCUACAGAUAAUAAAAUUGUUUUUCUAACCAAAAAAAGUAAACUAAUAUCAAUUGAUAGAUACUAAAUAGGGAACAAAUAGAAGAGCCAACACUAUAUGUAGCAAAUUUUCUUAUCCAGCUCAAAUACAUUUCUGUAAAUUUGAAGACAAUGCUGUAACAGUUUGUGAACUAUUUGUCCUUGAUCUAGUUAGCAAUGGGAGCUUCUAAAACAGCAGGAAAGUGUGUCAUCACAAUCCAUAAACAUUAAAGCCAACCAUCAACUGGAAGUAAACAUACUGAGUACCUACUGUGUGCUGGGCAAGGGACUCUACAUGGGGAAAUGUGACUUACCUUCACCACCCCUGCUUGGGAGCUGCAACCCAAGUACUGACUUCUCCCCAGAGUUGGCACCCCAAGACCACCCCCUCCUCUUCUCCCUCUCUUCCUCCACAAAAUAGAUGAGUAGGGACAAGGAAUCUGGAAAUAGAGCUAGAAGGGGAGGGGCAAAUUCUUGUCACUGCCUCUAAUGAAACUUCAUAAUA